rnacentral:lncRNA from 1 species
UUUUAAGAGAGCUUCAUUCACGGCCACGCCAAAAAUAUCCCGUAAAGCCUUGAAGAAAAUCUACAGAGAGUAUCGGAAAUGCUUUUUGGAGAAGUUCAAAGCGGAACAGGACAGCGAAGAAAGAGAAAUCAUGUUUCCAAGGGUACCCAUUAUAAAUGACUGAAGCUUAAUUUCGUCCAGUUUCGCGAUUUUGUUGAGAAUCAUCGGAAGUGAACUAAACUGUAAC